rnacentral:lncRNA from 1 species
AUUUCGUUAAAGGACCGAAAUAGGAAUUGUACUAACCCUACAAGUAUAUAAAGGUCGUGGUCCCCAGAGGAGUUGAAUACGAUUCAGUUUUACGUUCCUUUCGUAUUGCUUCCGCUAAAUCGAUUCUUCAAUUCUCUGGAAGGCUGCAAACCUAAUUCUAUACAUCAAGAUCGACAAACAACGAUGUCAGGUACGCAACCUUUUCUUAUUCAAUCUAUUUUGUUGAAUCUAGUGGUUUGCACGAUCUAGGUUAUUAUUGAAUUAUUUGAGAUUAAUUCUUACAAGUGGUAUCAGAGCCUUGUGCAUAAUUGCUAGAUUUUAGAUUG